UACGGAGGGUGCAAGCGUUAUCCGGAUUCACUGGGUUUAAAGGGUGCGUAGGUGGGCAGGUAAGUCAGUGGUGAAAUCUUCGGGCUUAACCCGGAAACUGCCAUUGAUACUAUUUAUCUUGAAUACUUUGGAGGUAAGCGGAAUAUGUCAUGUAGCGGUGAAAUGCUUAGAUAUGACAUAGAACACCAAUUGCGAAGGCAGCUUACUACACAGUUAUUGACACUGAGGCACGAAAGCGUGGGGAUCAAACAGG
rnacentral:rRNA from 1 species